rnacentral:rRNA from 1 species
GUGGGGAAUAUUGGACAAUGGGCGAAAGCCUGAUCCAGCAAUGCUGCGUGAGUGAAGAAGGCCUUCGGGUUGUAAAGCUCUUUUACCCGGGAAGAUAAUGACUGUACCGGGAGAAUAAGCCCCGGCUAACUCCGUGCCAGCAGCCGCGGUAAUACGGAGGGGGCUAGCGUUGUUCGGAAUUACUGGGCGUAAAGAGCACGUAGGCGGUCUUUUAAGUCAGAGGUGAAAGCACGGGGCUCAACUCCGGAAUUGCCUUUGAAACUGGGAGCCUUGGACACGGUGGAGGUGAGUGGAAUGCCGAGUGUAGGGGUGAAAUUCGUAGAUAUUCUGAGGAACACCAGUGGCGAAGGCGGCUGCCUGGACCGUUGUUGACGCUGAGGUGCGAAAGCGUGGGGGGCAAACAGGAUUAGAUACCCGAGUAGUCC